rnacentral:lncRNA from 1 species
UCAAAAAAGUAUCUUUAUUUAUUUACUCUCCCACAACUUGACAUCACUAUUCCCGGAACUUUCUUCAUACCUAACCCCUAAAUCUCAUCUAUAAAUGCAUUACUUUUCACACCUCUAAUUUGUGACGAUUAAGUCAGUGGUAAUAAUAUACUAAUAUAGGGGAAAAAAAUGAAAUUCCCGUUUACACACUGUGUUGUCUUCUUCUUGAUGGGAUUCUUGCUAAUGCACAAUCCCUUGGCUCUUUCAAUGCACAGUCCUUAUGUAAGGAACGAAAGAAGGCUUAGGAUCUCUCUGCAGCGGUCGCCACCGCAACCAGCCGCCGCCAGGGAGCGUCGCCAGGAAGCGCCACCGUCUCCACCGCGGGCGCCUGGGGCGCCACCUACUCCAUGCAGAAUAUGUUAAGCUCUUCCAAAAUAAUGUUAUAGAAAUUAAUGUUGGGUGUGUAUGAUGUAAUUUCUUUUUUAUUUUUGACCAAAGUGUAUGAUGUAAUUUCUAUUAUGCGUUUCAAAUACAUCAUAUAUAAUUAAAUUAAGUUAUUGUUGUUUCUAUGAAGGAAAUUGGAAUAAGUUAAUUAAUCCACUUUUUGAUGAAUAUCGGUACGGUUCGAUUCUCAU